rnacentral:tRNA from 1 species
GGCAGAGUGGCUAUGCAGCGGCCUGCAAAGCCGUUUACGCCGGUUCGAUUCCGGCC